CCCCUUCCUGCCAAAGCACCAUACGUGUAUGUCCACCUUGUUCUGCACCUUUCCACCAACCCUGGAUCAGUUUGGAUGACCCUGUGUUUAGAUUUGACUUCAUUCUGAGAACCUUUCAAAACGGGAGUAUAGCAUUUGUUUACGAGCAGGUAAUGACAGCUAUUAGAGAUACACUCAGGUAAUUUAGAAGAGCUGAGUCACACUACAAAGAGUUUGGGAUUAUCAUUUUCCCACUGGUCAACCAGUUGGAGGAAGCUUCUCUGAUGAAGGCUGAGUGGGGCAAUGAUCUAUGAAAACUCAGGGUGCUCUUAAUCAGGCUGUGCGGAAACAACAUCCUUUGGUAUUUACCCAAAGAAGAUCAACAGCUUCCUCCGCACCGAGUCUGCACAGGAAUGCAGCAGACAAUGCCUUCAUGUUGUCUAGCCUUGAACUCUGAGUUUCAAGAUGACAUGCGGAGCAUUUUUCAAGAUUAUCCUCUAGGCUUAUGAAUCAAGAUUGGCCUUGGAGUUGAUUCUGAAAGACAUCAAAGAAAGGAAACCUCAACUGAAGAUUCGAAACUAGGUCUACCCAACGCUAGAGACUGUUAGGAGAGCAAUGCAUAGGAUGCAUGACCGAAAUCACCUGCUAAGUGGCAUUUACUGCUCACUAAUAAACCAAAAGACCAUUUGUUACUUAUUGUCA